rnacentral:rRNA from 1 species
AACGAACGCUGGCGGCAGGCCUAACACAUGCAAGUCGAGCGCCCUUUCGGGGGAGCGGCGGACGGGUGAGUAACGCGUGAGAAUAUGCCCUUCUCUACGGAAUAGCCUCGGGAAACUGAGAGUAAUACCGUAUACGCCCUGUGGGGGAAAGAUUUAUCGGGGAAGGAUUAGCCCGCGUUGGAUUAGGUAGUUGGUGGGGUAAUGGCCUACCAAGCCGACGAUCCAUAGCUGGUUUGAGAGGAUGAUCAGCCACACUGGGACUGAGACACGGCCCAGACUCCUACGGGAGGCAGCAGUGGGGAAUCUUAGACAAUGGGGGCAACCCUGAUCGAGCCAUGCCGCGUGAGUGAUGAAGGCCUUAGGGUUGUAAAGCUCUUUAAGCUGGGAAGAUAAUGACGGUACCAGCAGAAGAAGCCCCGGCUAACUCCGUG